CAGGGAUUGGUUUUCAGUCAACAGCUCGUCUACAGCAUGAAUUCACGACUGGCCCUCAGGGUCAUUUGGCUGCCCAUCAGGUUCCCUCUCGGGAUUGAAGGAGAGAGCAAGAAAAAGCCUCUUCACUUGGCAGCGGAUGGUGUGCAGGGACACAGAACAGGUACAGUUUCCACGUCAUCAAAAUUUAAGCUGCUCAGGAGGAAACACCGUUGCUUAGCCUCUGUAAACUGCUGGUGUUCAAUUGCCAUGAAUGGUUUUGUCAGUGGGCUUGAAUGAGACUACAGAGUGUUCCUGGUCUGACCCAGCAGGGAUCAUGAGGAAUGAAGAAACGCCUGGUAGUCAGCAGUCGGCACGUGGACAAAGGGCUUCUCUACCACUGAGGGGUAGAAGUGUGUGUGUCACACAGUAAGACUUGCCAGUGAAAGAAGAGCUUGCAUGUGCCUGAUGACUGCUUUCAGAUCAAGUCAUCUUUGCCAGCCAAGGCGAAUUCUUGCCUGCUUCCUGGUCUCAGAGUGGGGUGUCUCUACAGUCUUAGCCAUGAAGGGAGGAGAUGAAAUGUUCUCCUGUUCAGUGUAUACGGAAGAGAUUGGAGCUGAGCUGCUGUCUCCGUAACAGUUAAAACUACAGUGAAAUUGGAAUUCUUUGUUCAUAUUUCAUUGUCUGCUUUGAGGAAAACAGUGAUCAUGAGAUCAAACAUCACCCUCAAGCUCUUGGACAUCUUUCAUCUCCAGCUUCCUACUGCAGGAAGGAAUUGUGGUAUUUGGCCUCAUGGUUACCAGCCCAGCAAAACUGUCUAUUAGCCAGAAAGCAAGAAUCACCCACAACUAAGGCCUAUGGAUGGCAUGGUGCUGUUGCCAAGCAGUGCUGGUGACGAGAUAAAGAUGUUUUAACAAGAUCCUGUGCCAGAGCCUGCCACCGAGUUAGAGGAGCCCGAGGGUUCGCCAGGCCAAGCCAGGCUUCCAGGGAAAAGCCCUCUCAAGGCUGCAUUCACAAGACAACAGGGUAAGAGGGAAGCAAUAUUUUGCCAUCGGGAAGUUGCUUGUUUCAUGAUUAGCAUCUCUGUUGCUCCUGGGGGAAGGGAUCACACUGUCUGGACAGAUUUUGAAUCCACCAAGAAAAGUGGCAUCUGGUAAACUCCACCCAGGAUCCAGUCUGCAAGUGGAGAAGUUGCCUGGCUCCCGCUGACAUCUUUGGAUUUAGGAGCCAAGAGAUGGUGUGCUGUGUGAGGCACAGCAUCAGAUGAGAGUGGUGGGACGUGAAGUUCACCUCCUAGCUGUGAUGAGUUUCCAGCCCAAGUUUGGCAGGAAGAUGUACAGGUAAGAUUAGCUUUAUCAGUUUAUUCUCUGCAAUGCAUUCAUUUUUUUAUCUAGAAAAUACACUCCUUGUAUCACACUGCCCAAGUCUAUCUGUUCCCUACAUAUUCAAACAGAAGAUGAAUUUUCACUUCUGACAGUUCACCUUGCAAAAUCAAGGGAGAUGGAAAAAAGACCCUCCUGUGUCAGUGUGGUGAUUGAUCACUUUUUAUUUUUGCUCAGAUGCCAGGUCUGGAUUUGAAAUAGAAAAGUAGUGUGCUAUUUUAUGGAGUUACUUUAGGAGGAGGCCCUGAAGGAGGAAUGUAGAGCACUGUAAGACAGGGCUGGAGAGAUCAGACAGGAACCAGAACAAAAGCCGCCACUGUUAGAGAUCUGGGAGUUGGUGUUGGAUGAAGCGGGGCCUCCCGCUGUUUGCUGCUCACUGUUGCCGUGGCCAGGCUGGCAUCACUGUGCAAGGGGAAAUGCAGACGAAGAGCUAAUCUAUCGAAACAGAAGGACAGACUUAGCUUGAGAAGAUGAGCAUGCUGAGCUGGUUUCUGCUCUGUUACACCCUGAAACCUCACUGAUAUCUGCACAGCUCCCCAGCUGUAACUCGGGGCAGACAGGCACUCUUUAUGCAUUUUCUCCAGAGCCAGACUGGUGAGGAUUUGGUGAGGACUGGAGAAACUGAUACUGAGAUUUUCAGCUCAGCAGGAGGGAAUCUGUGUUUGCUUAAUUUGGGAAGAGACAGUCAUAUAACUUACAGU